AGAAGAACAAAUAGAGGAAAAGGUGGCUUGAGAGGUUGGUGGUCCCACUAGUUUAAUGUUUUGUGGAUGUUUGCAAAGGUUGUGAAGUAGUUUAAUGUUGUGUAGUUGUUUGCGAAUGUUGAAGUAGCUUAAUGUCUCUUCAGAAUGUUUGAAUGACGUUUUGAUUCAACUUUGAAGUAGUUUCGAAUUGAAUUUGA